UCUUAAUUUAAUUAAUACAAAACAUAUUACUACUAAUUUAAAUGUGCUAAUAUCUACAGUCAGAGCAGUAAUAAAAAAGUUAAAUACUGGAGCUGAAAAACAAGGCUAGGUUAGAUGAGGACCUCAGCUUCUGUUCCCCCACACACAGAGAGGUCUAUGGUAAGGGAGGUAAACCCAUCAGCUAACCUCACUGUUAGAGGCCUGCAGUUUUUCAGUGUAAGAUUUUGCUGGUGCAAUAAACAGAACAAUAUGUUUUCAGGCUUUUUCAUGUCUUUAGCAGAUGUGCCAAUAAAUGUGGAAAGGGCAAAUGAAGCAUAUUCCAUAGAGACCUAAAUACCAGAUGAUCCAAAUUAUUACCUCAUCUGUACACAAAUCACCCAACUUAAAUCCCAAAAGCUGCCGCUGACCCUUUUCCACCUCCACGUCCAUGUGCCGCAAACGUUGCAGCAGUUCCUGGUGGGUGAUGGACAGCGUCUCGUGGCGCCGAAUGAUGGGCGUGACCAAAGAUUCGUAGCUGCUGUGAUGCUCGGACCUUCUAUGAGCAAGAGCCUCCAUGCAGCUCCUGAAAUCUUGUGUCUUGAGUGCGAGCAGGACCUCCACGUCAUGCAGCUCGGCCUGUUUUCUUGAAAUUAACAUUUUUUUCAGCGUUUUCAAUCCAGGCAUCAAGAGUUUGCCUGGAGUCUAGACAUUAUAAAAAAAAUCAGAUGAACUGACCCAAACUCUGGCAAUGUCCAACAAUAAGCAACAAGCAUAAUUAAAGCAAAAGUCACAACAAUUCCACAUUUUAAAGUUUUAAUUCCUACCUCCAUUGCAGUUUUGGACAAGUGUCCCCGUCCAGAACAGGGAGAGGAGACGUCGCCAUGUCUGCUGUAAAUGUGUCUUCACACAGUCAAGGCUCUUCUUCUUGGGUUUGUGUAGGCGUUGCCUAGCAACCAUCAGGGAGAC